UUUAACAGCUGAUGUUUUGUACUUUUUCAACAUUUAUCUUUCCCGUGCUGUUUAGUGGAAUGUAUAUUCACUUUUUGCUAUUUACAAGCGGAAAAAAGUUUUUCUCCCCACAAACAGACCGAUCAUCCGGUCGCUUCUGCAAUAUGGAAACUAAACAGAAUAAGGAGGAUACUGCUCGUGGAUGCUUAGCCACAGUGUGGCUCCCUGGCAAUAAACUGAUAUCCUAAUUUUGUUAAUGAAUAUUCAAUACCUUUCCGGAGAUGUUUCAGGAUUGAUAACAUGAUGAGGGAGUUCAGAUAAAAAUUCACACCUAUCCAUAUCUUUGCUUGACGCAAUGUUGAAUUUUUGUGCCUACCUGCGAACCACAAUGGGCUAUCGUUGCGCACAAUUCGUAAAUUAAUUUCCUGUCGAAGCUCGCAGAAACUGUUACGAUGCAAACCGACAAAUAAUCGAAUCGAUUGCUAUAAUGAGCUGCGGAAGGCUGAUGACGAAUUUGUUUCUUAAAGCCUAACUAAAUUACCAUGUUCUCGAGCUGGUGUUGCUCCGCCAACAACGACAAACAAGAAAUUAAAGUGCUGGACGGCAGUUUUCUCGGAACCGGACUCAAAGUUUCCCAAAAUUUCCACUCUUAUCGCUGUCCUGCUGGAGAAAUUGGUAGUGAAUUUUGAUUUUGAAACCAGUUUAAAAAAAAUUACGGUCUGUAUCAGCUAAUUUGGCAUUUUAAUGAAUACAGGCAACCGGAAGUGACGUAACUCCACUAAAGUAUUAGAGCUAAACUGCCUGUAAUUGGAAGUCAGUCCCAUACAUUUAGGGAUCCCUUUAGAACAUGGGACUAACUUGCGAUUAUGGGCAGUAAAUGCUGUACUCGAAUUUAUUCCGAAUGGGACAUUUUCUGCUCUUAUUUUAGUUAUUUGUUCAAUGUUUUAUGAGAAACAUUAAUCGGCUGGAAUAAAGUUCAAAACACUAGAA